rnacentral:rRNA from 1 species
AGAGUUUGAUCCUGGCUCAGAUUGAACGCUGGCGGCAUGCCUUACACAUGCAAGUCGAACGGCAGCACGGGGGCAACCCUGGUGGCGAGUGGCGAACGGGUGAGUAACAUAUCGGAACAUACCCUAGAGUGGGGGAUAACGUAGCGAAAGUUACGCUAAUACCGCAUACGAUCUAAGGAUGAAAGUGGGGGAUCUUCGGACCUCAUGCUCAUGGAGUGGCCGAUAUCUGAUUAGCUAGUUGGUGAGGUAAAGGCUCACCAAGGCGACGAUCAGUAGCUGGUUUGAGAGAACGACCAGCCACACUGGAACUGAGACACGGUCCAGACUCCUACGGGAGGCAGCAGUGGGGAAUUUUGGACAAUGGGGGCAACCCUGAUCCAGCAAUGCCGCGUGAGUGAAGAAGGCCUUCGGGUUGUAAAGCUCUUUUGUCAGGGAAGAAACGGUGAGUUCUAAUACAGCUUGCUAAUGACGGUACCUGAAGAAUAAGCACCGGCUAACUACGUGCCAGCAGCCGCGGUAAUACGUAGGGUGCAAGCGUUAAUCGGAAUUACUGGGCGUAAAGCGUGCGCAGGCGGUUAUAUAAGUCAGAUGUGAAAUCCCUGGGCUCAACCUAGGAACUGCAUUUGAGACUGUAUGGCUAGAGUGUGUCAGAGGGGGGUAGAAUUCCACGUGUAGCAGUGAAAUGCGUAGAGAUGUGGAGGAAUACCGAUGGCGAAGGCAGCCCCCUGGGAUAACACUGACGCUCAUGCACGAAAACGUGGGGAGCAAACAGGAUUAGAUACCCUGGUAGUCCACGCCCU